AGGGUCUAUAGCUCAGCGGUAGAGCGCCUCGUUUACACAUGACCGGGAGUGUCUAUGGUUCGAAUCCGUAUAGCCCUA
rnacentral:tRNA from 1 species